UACGUAGGGUGCAAGCGUUGUCCGGAAUUAUUGGGCGUAAAGAGCUCGUAGGCGGUCUGUCGCGUCGGCUGUGAAAUCCCGAGGCUCAACCUCGGGUCUGCAGUCGAUACGGGCAAACUAGAGUAUUGCAGGGGAGACUGGAAUUCCUGGUGUAGCGGUGAAAUGCGCAGAUAUCAGGAGGAACACCGGUGGCGAAGGCGGGUCUCUGGGCAAUAACUGACGCUGAGACGCGAAAGCGUGGGGAGCGAUCCGG
rnacentral:rRNA from 1 species